rnacentral:rRNA from 1 species
UACGAAGGGGGCUAGCGUUGCUCGGAAUCACUGGGCGUAAAGCGCACGUAGGCGGAUUUUUAAGUCAGGGGUGAAAUCCCGGGGCUCAACCCCGAAACCGCCUUUGAUACUGGAGAUCUGGAGUCCGAGAGAGGUGAGUGGAAUUCCGAGUGUAGAGGUGAAAUUCGUAGAUAUUCGGAGGAACACCAGUGGCGAAGGCGGCUCACUGGCUCGGUACUGACGCUGAGGUGCGAAAGCGUGGGGAGCAAACAGG